GACGAACGCUGGCGGCGUGCUUAACACAUGCAAGUCGAACGCUGAAGCACCAGCUUGCUGGUGUGGAUGAGUGGCGAACGGGUGAGUAAUACGUGAGUAACCUGCCCUUGACUCUGGGAUAAGCCCGGGAAACUGGGUCUAAUACUGGAUGCUACAUGUCACCGCAUGGUGGUGUGUGGAAAGGGUUUACUGGUCUUGGAUGGGCUCACGGCCUAUCAGCUUGUUGGUGAGGUAAUGGCUCACCAAGGCGACGACGGGUAGCCGGCCUGAGCGGGUGAACGGCCACACUGGGACUGAGACACGGCCCAGACUCCUACGGGAGGCAGCAGUGGGGAAUAUUGCACAAUGGGCGAAAGCCUGAUGCAGCGACGCCGCGUGAGGGAUGACGGCCUUCGGGUUGUAAACCUCUUUCAGCAGGGAAGAAGCCACAAGUGACGGUACCUGCAGAAGAAGCGCCGGCUAACUACGUG
rnacentral:rRNA from 1 species